UACGUAGGGCGCAAGCGUUGUCCGGAAUUAUUGGGCGUAAAGAGCUCGUAGGCGGCUCGUCGCGUCGACCGUGAAAACCCGCAGCUUAACUGCGGGCUUGCGGUUGAUACGGGCGGGCUAGAGUUCGGUAGGGGAGACUGGAAUUCCUGGUGUAGCGGUGAAAUGCGCAGAUAUCAGGAGGAACACCGGUGGCGAAGGCGGGUCUCUGGGCCGAUACUGACGCUGAGACGCGAAAGCGUGGGGAGCGAACAGG
rnacentral:rRNA from 1 species